rnacentral:rRNA from 1 species
CCGCGGGAUUAGAGUUUGAUCCUGGCUCAGAACGAACGCUGGCGGCGUGGAUAAGACAUGCAAGUCGAACGAGACGUUUCGUUGUAGCAAUACGAUGGAAAGUUUAGUGGCGAACGGGUGCUUAACACGUGGGCAACCUGCCAUGAAGUGGGGGAUAGCUCGCCGAAAGGCGAAUUAAUACCGCAUGUGAUUAGAGAGGACAUCCUUUCGAAAUUAAAGUCGGGGCAACCUGACGCUUCUUGUGGGGCCCGCGGCCUAUCAGCUAGUUGGUGAGGUAACGGCUCACCAAGGCUUUGACGGGUAGCUGGUCUGAGAGGACGACCAGCCACACUGGGACUGAGACACGGCCCAGACACCUACGGGUGGCAGCAGUCGAGAAUUUUUGACAAUGGGGGAAACCCUGAUCGAGCGACGCCGCGUGGAGGAUGAAGGUCUUCGGAUUGUAAACUCCUGUCAUUUGGGAACAAGGUGCACACGUUAACUGCGUGCGUAUUGAUAGUACCAGAAGAGGAAGAGACGGCUAACUCUGUGCCAGCAGCCGCGGUAAUACAGAGGUCCCAAGCGUUGUUCGGAUUCAUUGGGCGUAAAGGGUGCGUAGGCGGCGCGGUAAGUCGGGUGUGAAAUCUCGGAGCUUAACUCCGAAACUGCAUUCGAUACUACCGUGCUUGAGGACUGGAGAGGAGACUGGAAUUUACGGUGUAGCGGUGAAAUGCGUAGAUAUCGUAAGGAAGACCAGUGGCGAAGGCGGGUCUCUGGACAGUUCCUGACGCUG